UAAUCUAGUUCCCUCUAACGUUACUCUGAUACGCACCUAACUUGUGAAAUACAAGUUAUUUGUGCUCGAUGUAAAGGUUACAGCCCAUUCAAAGGUUACAUGCGGACGUGCGCUGCCCUCUUACAGGUUACAUUGCGAGAGAAACAGUGGCGUUACCCCUAAGGACGGCGUUACGCUUUUGGAGAAGUUACCAGCGUUACUUAUAAAAGCGAAGUGGUCCGCAGUUUCGCGAAAGUCGGCAGGUGGAGGUUGCACGUCAAGUGGCAGUUGGCAACAGCGUGUAUCAGGAAAAAGCGGGAGGAGCGUUUCGCUUGCUGUGUGGUACCUCGCCGCUUCGACAUCCGUUGCAUUGGAAACAACGGAAUUCAGAGUCACAUAGUGGAUAUAUGACGUGACGGACGCACACAGACAUUCGAGGUUUCACACAGGGACGUUGCACGGACGCCGGCUGUGAUCGUGAUGCAUUUAUUGGAGAAAUGGAUGAAAAUGGACAUGCACUGGAAGUAGCAUGCUGUUAUUGUCACCAUGCACCAGCCAAGCAUGCAGCACUGAGUGAAACAGGUAACCCAUAGCGCAGCUCCACUGGUUCCAAAUUUGAUGGACACAGCCAUGAGUUACCUGGCAGUAUUGUGGCAGAGGGUAUCUUGUGCCACAGAAGUACAUACGAACAGUCCAGCAGAAAUACAGCAGCAGCCCAAUCCCAGUCUAUAACUCUCCAGAGGCUAGAGAGAUAGCAGCAAACCAGGUCCUUCCCACAACUCUCCGCAAGCUCGGGAUUCGUCGCAAACCCAGCCAGCCAGCCAUGUACGAACCUAUAUUUGCCAACAUUGUAGAUUGUCGACUAGGUAUUUCCAGUGCUUUUGUGACCACGUUGUUCAGUGUGUAGGGUGUGGCUUUCUCCCUUCUUGUGAUACUUGUGGAACAACGUUUGAAACCAUCUAACGAUACAUACAUCAUUUGAAUUUUUGUAUUUAGUUAAGCACACGAGUACAGGACGACAUAACAUGACAGGAUGAGCCAGCCAUCACAAUGUACAGGUGAGCUACUUGAGCAGAUGGAAAGAGCAGAUGGAAAGAACAGAUCAAAGUUUGGAGAAUAAUCUGAAAAAAAAAGGCUAUUUAUGUCAUAACCCAGAGGGCCACCACAUGUGCUCCAAGGUGGUUGUCGAUUGCGUUGUAAGCAGCAUAGAGGAAUUGUUUCAGGAAAUGGGUGUGCAGAUUGACACCACUUUGGUAAAAUCAGAUCAGGUUCGGAAGUUGCAUUAUGAGGAACCCCUGAUUUUUUGUAACGUGC